rnacentral:pre_miRNA from 1 species
UUAUUACUCCCUCCGUCCGGAAAUAUUUGUCAUCAAAAUGGAUAAAAGGGGAUGCAUCUAGACGUAUUUUAGUUUUAGAUACAUCUCUUUUUAUCCAUUUUGAUGACAAGUAUUUUCGGACAAAGGGAGUACAAA